rnacentral:rRNA from 1 species
AUGCAAGACUACUUCGAGAAGAAUCCAACAUAUCCACCGCACCUCUUCCGGAGAAGGUACCGAACGCGUCGAUCCUUCUUUGUGAAAAUUGUUCAAACUUGCGAGGCAAAUUGUCGGUAUUUUACUCAGAGAACAACUGUUGCGGGCUUGAAGGGAUUUAGUGCAUAUCAAAAGGGAGGCAUGAACUUGGAGUUCUUUUACGACAAUGUGGGUAGCCGUGUCAAACCAGCUAGAGACCCUGACCGCAUUAAAGCUUUUCUUGAAACAUACAAGGAGAUUGAAAAUGCAAACACCCACUUUCAGCUUCAGGAGGAUCUCAUUGAGCACCAUUGGCAAAGGGCUAGACAGUAA